AUGGCCCCCAAAGUGCAACUCUCCAGUAUGACCAGAGAAGGUAGGGAGACCUGUGUGCGGAAGCAGAAGAGCAGACUUGUGAAGACUCCUGCAGUGGAAACGGAUUCACCUCUGGCUCCGGCUCCAGUUACUGAACUUCUCGCACAGACUGGUGCACCAGUGCCCUUGGCAUUGCCUUUGUUGAUCUGGCUGGGCCACAGGUAACUUUCCAAUGUUUUAGCUGGGGCCAUAUACAAGGACCAAACCCGCACCUCUUUCAACUCCUCUGUGUAAGCUUUGGAGACUGAAGAAAAAUGCAGCGGUUUUUGUUGUGGUAGAGGUAGUGCUGUCACCCAGGUUGUCUGGUGUUUUAGCUUCGUAUUGUGCUCUUCCAGUUGGAGGGUGUCACAACUGCCUGCCCACAUCCAGCCACACACCUUUCUCAUCCAGCCACACGGGUGAUGCCCCAUACACAGCUCCACCACUGGGUUCUCAUUAGCUGGCCUCCCAGCCACAAUGACUGUUGAGUGUUGACAGGUGCCAUAGAUUCACACUCCAGGAUCUUCCAUUGCAAAACUGACGCUGAUGCCAGCGGCUUUGUUCCACACAGUGCUGACGUUUCAUUUGUAGCCAGAAAGGAGUCAGGAAGUUUAAGGUUAAUCAAAUCUGAUGUUAGCACACUCCUGUAGGAUAUGACCAUCAGAUGGUCCAGCAAAUCCCACUUUUUAUCAAAAUAUUUUAUUGUGCAUAUGUGAAUGCAAUGACUGCCAAUGGACAACAAUUUGAUUUGAUGCAUACAUUUUUUGACUGCUAGUUCUUGUCUGAUGUUUUAACCCUAAGUCAAUUAUUCUUGCUUUUGUAAUAAUUGUCUUGAUUUUGCAUAUUCUAUCAAUGAAUAGUGCUCAUCUGAACUCAUCAAUGUCCCUUGUUCGAGUAACCUAUGAUUUUUGAAGGCCUGGGACUAAAUUCAGGCUUUAGAGCCCUGAGAUAACUCCUGGAAAUUUCAUCCAACAAUCUCAGCCUCAAUGUCCCCACCACAUGCUAAGUGGAAUUAAGGAUUCCUCCGAAUCCCAUUCUCCUCCCGCCACAUUACUUCUUUCUUUUUUCCAGCAGAGACAAGAGAAUCUGCUUAUGACAGAUUGCACCUCAGGAAAGAAGUAGCCCUAUGACGUGUGUGGGCAACACAAUUUAAGAUUCUACGGGCUUAUGCCCAACCCAUUAUUUUAAGGAUGAGAAACAGUAAAGGGAAAAGUUGGUUCAAGCAAUCCUGAGUCUGUUCAUUAACCGGGAGACAGAAAGGAAUAAAAUAAGACUUUCCUGAUUAUUUCA
rnacentral:lncRNA from 1 species